UAAAAUAUUCAAAAAUUUAUAAAACUCAAUUAAAAAAUAAGAAUUUUUUUAAAAUUAAAACCCAUCCGCACCCUUUCCCCAACCCCACUUUCUAGCCCUACCCCAUUGCCCAGAUUCAUCCCCAAAAACCCAAGCCUCGACACCACCACCGCCUCCACGUCCACCGCUGACGAAGAAUUUUAGGCUUUGCGAGAAGAGAAUCGGCCACUAAGAAACUGUUGUGGAUUCAAUCAACUUAUUGACGCGAAUCAGAGCUUUAAAGCAGGAAUCUAAAAUCAAUUUCCUUUCAAGGUGGCCACAGGAAGUGCUUUGUUGGCAGCUGAAAUUCUCAUCAAUGUUGACCAUGAAGAACCAAGUUGAUGGGUUUGGGUAACGGAAUAUAUGAUUCCUAGCAAAGUUGAGGAUAUGAGUGGAAUUGACAAUGAAAGCUAUGUUCUUGUCAGUGGGUAAAGCUCCGGUUUCCCAAUAUUCAUAUGGUUCUUCUAGUUCGAAUCACGGAAGCACUCAAUUCCCACAGAGAGAACCGAGGGGGGAAUGGAUUGGGCUGGGGUACAGUACAGAGAUGGGUGCUAGGGGAAGUUGGGGAGAUGGCUGCCAUGCAGUAGAGGAAGAGGGAGAAGGGUAAGGUAUGUGUGUUGUGAGGGAAGGGGUUUGAUAUUUGUUAAUAAUCUUUUUAGUUUUUUUUUAUAAUCAUUUUCUUAUGUUUUUUAAUUGGUUUUAAUGAUUUUCCCUUAAGCCCUUAGAAGUCAUUUUAUAAAGCGGUAAAUUGGUCUUUAAAAUUUACAAGAUAAGGUGGGUAAGGAAAUAGGACAGAUGGGUGGAAAUAGCAACACUCUUUAUUUAUUAAUCUAGAGUCGUUCUAUUGUGAAGGUGCCAUAAAUGGAUUAUAGAUGUAGACAUUCAUAUUAUCCACAAAAUUUAUCUGAAUAAUAACUUCAUUUAAUUUUAAUAAAAUAAUCUUGUGGCUAAUAUGAAGGUCCUCAUAAGGGGUCCAUAUAUGACACCCUCACUAUAGAAUUUCGCUAUUAAUAUAAGGAAGUAUUUUUGCUCACCACUUUAAUCCGAGAGAUUAUUGUGUGAUACAAUAUCACCAUGUCAAUUAAUAAUACUCCUACUUAAAUUUUGCCAUGUGUCAUUUUUAAAGAAAAUUUAAACUGUUUGUACAGUUCGACUUUCGCAUCCAAUUUUAGCCUUGGAAUAAAAUUUUAAAAACGAAAAAAAAAAAAA